rnacentral:rRNA from 1 species
CCUACGGGAGGCAGCAGUGGGGAAUCUUCCACAAUGGGGGAAACCCUGAUGCAGCAACGCCGCGUGAGUGAAGAAGGAUUUCGUAAUGUAAAGCUCUAUCAGCAGGGAAGAAAAUGACGGUACUUGACUAAAAAACCCCGGCUAACUACGUGCCAGCAUCCGCGGUAAUACGUAGGGGGCAAGCGUUAGCCGGAUUGAAGGGGUGUAAAGUGCGCUGAGGCGGCAGUGCAUGUAUGGAGUGAAAGGCGGGGGCUCAACCGCAGGAAUUCACUGGAAACUGUACGGCUGGAGUGCAGAAGAGGGAAGUGGAAUUCCUAGUGUAGCGGUGAAAUGCGUAGAUAGUUGGAGGAACACCAGUGGCGAAGGCGGCUCACUGGACUGUAACUGACGCUGAGGCUCGAAAGCGUGGGGAGCAAACAGGAUUAGAUACCCCAGUAGUC